GAUGAACGCUGGCGGCGUGCCUAAUACAUGCAAGUCGAGCGAACGGACGAGAAGCUUGCUUCUCUGAUGUUAGCGGCGGACGGGUGAGUAACACGUGGAUAACCUACCUAUAAGACUGGGAUAACUUCGGGAAACCGGAGCUAAUACCGGAUGAUAUUUUGAACCGCAUGGUUCAAAAGUGAAAGACGGUCUUGCUGUCACUUAUAGAUGGAUCCGCGCUGCAUUAGCUAGUUGGUAAGGUAACGGCUUACCAAGGCAACGAUGCAUAGCCGACCUGAGAGGGUGAUCGGCCACACUGGAACUGAGACACGGUCCAGACUCCUACGGGAGGCAGCAGUAGGGAAUCUUCCGCAAUGCGCGAAAGCCUGACGGAGCAACGCCGCGUGAGUGAUGAAGGUCUUCGGAUCGUAAAACUCUGUUAUUAGGGAAGAACAUAUGUGUAAGUAACUGUGCACAUCUUGACGGUACCUAAUCAGAAAGCCACGGCUAACUACGUG
rnacentral:rRNA from 1 species